GCCCUAUGUGCUGAACUGCUGCUACUCCUCGAACAGCAACAUCGUACUGGAGACUUUGCUGGUGCUGAAGAAUCUCCUGAGCCACCUCACCUGGCAGCACUCCUCCUCCUUCCUGACCCAGCUCACCUUCACGCUGGUGCCCUUCUUUGAGGAGGUGUCAGAGCAUCUGCGGUUGGCAGCCUUUGAGAUCUAUGGGAGUCUCUUGACCAAGGUCAAGAAGAGGGGCCUUGUCUUCCCCUUGAAACACCAGAUCCUCAACUUGCUAGUCCCCCUGGUGCUCCACCUGAGGGACGUGAAUACCGAUGUGGCUCUGGUGAGAGGCCAGGCCUUGGAGCCUGGUCUUCAGUCCCCGUUUUCAUGGGAGGUAAAUGCUAAACAUGUUGAGUGCUUAGGCAGGGCUGUGGCAGUACUGGAUGGUGCUGAAGGAGUCAACUAGUCUCUGACCUUGCAGAGUUUUAGUGAGAGACUAGAGAUGAAC
rnacentral:lncRNA from 1 species